GCUGACGUCCAUCGGAGGUUUUGUUCUAUGUGGGUCUCCAUCUAAUAAGGCUUGCAAUUCGUUCUCUGCGAACUUUUUCGGUGGUUUCCCACGCUCUUUGUUUCUCACGUCAAAAUCACCAUUUUGAAUUUUUUGAAUCACUCGAAACACUGUGUUUUACCAAAAGCAUAUUCACCGUAAGUUCCGACAAGUAUUCGAUGCAAUUCUGCAGCAGUUUUCUUCAAAUGAUAACAGAAAACCGAUGCUGUCCGCAAAUCGUAGAUUGUAGGUACAAAAUUCGACAUGUUUAAGGUUAUAGAAAAAUCUACCGGUGUAUGGAACUUGGGUUGUUGUGUGUUGAAAAUCUUCAUCAGCUGUUAGAGGAAGAUGAUGGCGCUGCAGAAGCGGUCUUACGAUCCCUAAACUGAUGGCUAGCACUAUCUAUAGGGAUAUUCCGGUUCCAUACUUUUACACCCUAUACUGUGCCUAGGAGUUUUUCAGCUACUUCCGAAUUAACGUCAACUGGUCGCAUGCCGAUAGUGCGGUGAUAACGCUUGUUGUAAUCCGACACCAGGCGCGGCAGUUCGUCGACUUGUGCGACUCAUUAAGUAGUUUCUGCACAUUGGCGUUGUAAAACUUCUUGCCUAUAUCAGUUUGCAAAUUUUUCGGACAUCUCCCUCUUUCUCGAAUUAUCUUGGCGAUUACAUCAGCCGUCUCGCGCCCGGCCUUGCUUUUGAACGGUACUGCCCAGGCGUAUUUACUCAACGCAUCGAUGAUGCAAGGACGGGAGAGCGCAUGCGUGAGCGGGUGGCAGCGGCGGUGGGUGGUGGUGAAGGAUGGCAGGUGCCGGCGGCGGGUGGCGGAUCGCGCCAGCGAACCCCGCGUUAGACUGCGCGCAUCCCCUCCACACACCACGAAAAUUCCUCCUUGGGCAAACUGCAACAGGAUGGGAGAGCGCAUGCGCAAGCGAACGAGAUAUCGCGCAUGGAGUAGCAAACGAGCGAGCGAGAGAGAUCGCGCACGGAAUAGCGAACUUUACUAAAAGAGAGAUAUCUUGCAAGAUUCGACAUGCCACUAGGCGACAACCGCGCACGACAGAAAGCUCACGUAACAUAAACAAAUCUAAAUAUUAUCUUAACGCAUCAUUAGAAGCCGAAGGAGCUGUUCGGCGCUUCUCUUUCUCUUGCAUCCACCUUGACCAAAAAUUAUUAAAGGAGAACGAGCAGUGGCGGCGGCGGCGGCGGUCCCGCGAAAAUAGCCGCACACACUCCACAAAAUAUUCGCCAUCGUAUCGCUAGUCUUAUUCUCCUCUACCCCCUGGUGAUGACAGACAUUGAAAGAAACCACCGCUUUCAAAAGUACAGUCAUACCACCCCCCCUCCCGCGGUGUGAUUUAUUAUGUUUAUGUAAACAGAGGGACAAGUACAUGGUCUAGGUUUACAAUAAAUGGUCAGUUGCUUCCACGCGGUACAUUUCAAAGAUGUCAGGUUUAUUUAAACAUCGGCCAAGAACAUAGUCCUUAUUUAUUUAAACAUUGGCGACGAUUAUCGCUAACUCUAUUUAAUCGUUGUCACUGUUUAUUUAAACAUU
rnacentral:lncRNA from 13 species